rnacentral:rRNA from 1 species
UACGUAGGGUGCGAGCGUUAAUCGGAAUUACUGGGCGUAAAGCGUGCGCAGGCGGCUUUGCAAGACAGAUGUGAAAUCCCCGGGCUCAACCUGGGAACUGCAUUUGUGACUGCAAGGCUAGAGUACGGCAGAGGGGGAUGGAAUUCCGCGUGUAGCAGUGAAAUGCGUAGAUAUGCGGAGGAACACCAAUGGCGAAGGCAAUCGCCUGGGCCUGUACUGACGCUCAUGCACGAAAGCGUGGGGAGCAAACAGG